CAUUUUGUCCAAUUGUUAAAUGGAAAUAAGACCCAUUUUCUUUCAUAUCCUUGGGUGAAACCGAGAAGAAUCGAGAAAGAGGGAGGAAGAAAAAAGUGAAAAAAGAAGAAGAAGAAGAAGAAGAAGAAGAAGAAGAAGAAGUGGGUUUUCAAUUUUGGGGUGCUCCAUUUCUUCAAUUUCUCAUUUGAUUUUGAGAGGUAAGUGUAAGUAUAUUUGAGUUAAGUUUUCUUUUAGGGUUUAUGGAAAAUUUGGUCAUAUUCGAAGUUAGCUAGAAUUAGAGGUUAUUGACAUUUAUUUGAGGUAUUAAACAUGAAUAUGUUAAAAAAUAUAUGUAUUGAAAGAUUGGUGUUGGAAAAAAAUAAAAGAAAGAAAAGAAAAGGAGGGAAACUUUGAAAAUGAGUUUGUGAAAUAGGUGCUUAUUCCUUGAUUUUCUUUGGAUUAUGUGAUGUUAAUCACUUAAACUAUGGAAUUGGGGUUGAUUUCUCCAUUUUUAAGUAAUAAUUAUAAGCAAUUUUUGGACAAAUCCUACACAGGUGCUGCUUCUGAAAUCCUGCCCAGAAAAGUGCUAGUUUUGUCAAUUUUUUGGUGACAGAUUUCAAUAAAUAGACAUUGGUGCUAGUUUUCAAUAUUAUGAAAUUAUAGUGCUAGUUUUGUCAAUCAUCUAAUUUUCUUGGAUUUCUAGUAUUCUAACCAAAUUAAGUGUUAAUUAUUUGGAGUUUUGGUGUUUAAAUAAUUUAUAAAGGAGUAUAUGUUGUUAGUGACUUUAAUUGGGAUUACGAGGUUGAAAAUAAAAUAUAUCAUGUUCCCAUUGGUAAAUUAAUAUUUCAAAUGGUAGGAAAAUACUCAAGGCAUCUUGGUAAGGGAAUAUGAUUUACUAGAGCGAGUGCGUAAUAUCAUACUUGAUAUUUGAAGUAGAAACGGUGACGAAAAGAUUGAAACCAUGGUUGACUAUUACUUGGUGAGUGGAUAAAACUUACUUUUCAGAAAUAAGUCUUUUUUAAAUUUUAAAGUUAUUUAUUUUAUAAAAUUGACUUCAUAGCAUGAUUUUCAGAAUAAAAUGGAUUUUAUUAUCAAUUUCUUUUAAAGUUAAAUUCAGUUCAAUUAAAUUAUUUUAGUAGCAUGUUAUAUUCUUAUUACAUGUUUCAGUAUAGUUAAAGUUAUUUCUAAAAACCACCAGAAACUACCCAGGUGAUUUUACCCCAGUUUGCACUGAUGUGAAUGUAUUUUCACAGUGUAUGACUAGUUAUAGUGAUUUUACCCGUUUUGCACUAUCGUGAAUGUGUUUCCAUAGUGUGACUAGAUUAUCAGAGGUCUUUGGAACCCACUCUCGUACACACAUAGGCUUUGGGCUGUGUACUAGGGUGAUUAGUCUUUGGGGCAGCUCUGCAUACGUAUGACCAGAUUAUCAGAUUAUCAGCUAUCAAAUUUGAAUGGCUUUGCCUUGUACAUCGAGAUUACUUUGUCCAUGAGUAAGGCUAUUCAUUGGGUACUCUUUAGGGUAUGAUUUUUCAGUAUUUAUUCAAUUCUCAGAUUUCAGAUUAUGGAAUUCAGUUAAUUCAGUUUUCAAAAUAAAGCUUUCAACCUAUAGUAUUGAGCAGCAGCAAUAUUUCAUAGAUUUUCAUGGAUAUCAAAUUAUUUAUGUCAUUAUACUUUACAGUUGCUUAUCUAGAAUUAAGAACAAAGAAUUUUAUGAUGAAAUUAUGUUUAGUUUUAAAAGUAUUCUCAGAUUUCAGAAUUUCUCAAAGUUUUGAUAGAGAAAGAAUUUUCAGAAUAUAUGCAUAAAAGAAAAAUAUGUUUAUUUGUAAUUAUCCACUCACUGAGUUUUAAGCUCAUAUAUUUUUUCACCUUUUUCUUUAUCAGACAGAAAGCAGACAAAUUGAG
rnacentral:lncRNA from 1 species